rnacentral:rRNA from 1 species
ACUCCUACGGGAGGCAGCAGUGGGGAAUAUUGCACAAUGGGCGCAAGCCUGAUGCAGCCAUGCCGCGUGUGUGAAGAAGGCCUUCGGGUUGUAAAGCACUUUCAGUCGUGAGGAAGGUGGUGUWGUUAAUAGCASCAUYAUUUGACGUUAGCGACAGAAGAAGCACCGGCUAACUCCGUGCCAGCAGCCGCGGUAAUAC